UAGACAUUUUUUGCAUAUUUCAUUUUUGAAUAUGAGGAUUCACAUAGGUAAGUUGAUGCAAACAAUGUCAAGAGUAAAUGUGCGCAAUUUUUUAACGUUUCAUAGCUAUCCGGUACUAAUUUCCAAAAUUCUUCAUAUUGAUCGCACUCAAGUGUGAUCUGUGUGUACGCAUUAAGGGAGAAAACAUGAGUAAAUGCGUGAAUUAAUAAAUACGUUAAUUUUACGUAAUUUUGGGCCCUUAACGUGGCUCGGGCCGCAAAAAAAAGCGCAGCGGGCCGCAGGCGGCCCGCGGGCCGCUGGUUGAGUAUGGCUGACAUAGA
rnacentral:lncRNA from 1 species